rnacentral:sRNA from 1 species
CUGCCCAUGCGGGGAAGGAUGAGAAGCUUCGACCAAGGUUCGACUCGAGCGCCAGCGAGAGAGCGUUGCCGCAGGCAACGACCCGAAGGGCGAAGCGCGCAGCGCUGAGUAAUCCUUCCCCCACCACCA